rnacentral:lncRNA from 1 species
CAAAACUUAGAUCUGCCCUUCAUGGUCAUAUUGGGCCCUUUCAAUACAUUUUUAUCAGCCUGUCAUCUGAGAAGCAUGUAGCUGGGGUGUUGUUCUGGACUAAUUAUUACUAGUGCUCCUUUUCAUUUUCAAAAGUGUUGGCAAACAUGUUGGCCCAUGCCUGUAAUCCCAGUUCUUUGGGAGGCCAAGGUGGAGAAUUGCUUGAAGCCAGGAGUUCAAGACCAGCCUGGACAAUAUGGCAAGACCUCAUCUCUUAAAAAAAAAUUAGCCAGGCCUUCAGACCUGGAUUGAGAUCUACACCAUCAACUCUGGCUCUUAGGCCCUCAAACUACACCAUCACUUUCCUGAGUCUCCGGCUUGCAGACAGCAGGUUGUAGGACUUCUCAGCCUCCAUAAUCACAUGAGCUAAAGCCUUAUAAUCUCUGUGUCUCUCUCUCUCUCUCUCUCUCUCUCUCUCUCUCUCUCUCUCUCUAUAUAUAUAUAUAUAUAUAUAUAUAUAUAUAUAUAUAUAUUUCCUGUUGAUUAUGUUUCUCUGGGGAAUCUUGACUAAUACAAUUUUUUCUGCCUCAGUUUCCCCAUCUGCAAAGUGGGGAUAAUAGUACAUACCUCAUAGGAUGCCUUAUAUCAAAUGAGUUCAUGUAUAUAAAACACUUAGGGCAGUGCCUGGCACAGAAGAAACACUAUAUGCUAGGUUUUGUUCUUAUUAUCAUCAAUAUCACUACUGAUAAUUCCUAACUUAUAUUUAAUUCAUUUCUCUCAAUGUGUACUUGGAAAAUCAUUCCUUUUUGUGAAACUUAUUUUUAAUCAUUGCUAAGAGUGGCAAACACACCUACAGAAAAUCAUUGUAUACAAAGUAACUUUAGGAAUUACCUAAUCCAUGUAAUUGCUCCAGGAGUGAUUUCAUGGGAUUAGGUAAUUCCUAAAGUCAUGGCUCAGAGAGAGUAGAAUUGAACUCAAGAUAAAUAAGAACUUUCCCAAAUUGAAUACUUUCCACCUACAGUCUACAUUGGGCUGGCUUGUGAAAUGCUGAGCUCCUAAACACUGAAAGUAUACAAGAAGUGACUGGCUGACCAACCACCAGGAGAUGUGGUACCUGGAUUCUCUAAUAAAUAGGUGGCUUUACUGAUGAUUUCAAAGAUCAUGGCCAAUUCAAAGAAUCUAUGUUUCCACCGCUCUUAGGCAGGACCUUAUAUAUUGGACAAUUUCCUUCCUGUUACCACAUACUCGGUUCUCCUCACUGCUGCAUGUAACAUUAUGGGUUUAUCACAUUCUACCCUGAGGGACACUUAGCUUUUCAGUUCACCCCAUCCUUGUGGGAGAAAAUCUUCACAAGUGGAGAUUCAAAAUUCGCAAUAAUGCAUAGAAAAAUACCAAGAUUCUCCAAACUUACAAAUAACAGAGAAAAGUAGAAAU